rnacentral:rRNA from 1 species
GACGAACGCUGGCGGCGUGCUUAACACAUGCAAGUCGAACGGAGAAGCCCUGCUUUUGCGGGGUGCUCAAGUGGGGAAAGGGUGUGUCAGACGGGUGAAAAAUGCGCUGGAAACUGGGAUAACUUCGGGGGACAGGGGCUAAUACCGGCUAGGAGAUCCUGCUGCGCGGAGGGGGUGGGAAAGUUUCGGCGGUUGGGGAUGGACUCGCGGCUUAUCGGCUUGUUGGGGGGGUAGUGGCGUACCAGGGCCUGGACGGGUAGCCGGCCAGCUAGGGUGACCGGCCACACUGGGACUGAGAUACGGCCCAGACUCCUACGGGAGGCAGCAGUGGGGAAUAUUGCACAAUGGGCUGAAGCCUGAUGCAGCAACGCCGCGUGCGGGAUGACGGCCUUCGUGUUGUAAACCGCUUUCGCCUGUGACGAAGCGUGAGUGACGGUACCUGGUUAAGAAGCACCGGCUAACUACGUG